AUUGCCAAAAAAAUCCUAAAUCUCCGGCGUCCACUACCACCAGCCUAAAUAGAUCAAUCAAAUUACUCUAUGCUUAUAUCACUUUGGAUCAAUUGGCAUAGCCCAACCUGUUAAUUGAGGUGAUGAAAAAAAAAAAAAUGAGGAGGCACGGCACAUUAACCAUGAUCAAGUCAGGGCUGUUGCAGUUACACUAACAGUUUGCGGCUGGCAAUCAUAUUCAUGAAUUGUUUGUAUAUUGUGUAUUAGUAGUUGUUUCAACGACGAAGUUGUAAUUCUUAAUUGUAUUUUCUUCUCCCACUGAAAUUAUAUUUCUCUUCAAGGGUUAGGUUAGUUCAAGAUUAUAGCCCAUGUCUGUGAGAGGGAAAACUGAAUGCAGCAAUUUUGAAGCUGCCAGUAUAAAUUGGAUGUGUACUUUGCUCA